GUGAUGUUGUUGAUUGAAAGGUAUCGUUAUCGUACGGCGUAUUUUCCUUCCUUACAGUUUUCUUCAUAAAAAUGUUAUUUCCUUUUUGGGUUGUUAGAUCUGACUGAAUCUUAAUUAUUUGUGUGUGAAUUUAGUUAUUUGUGUGGUAACCUAGCCUAUUAAUUUCUACUUGAAAAUUUCAGCUGAUCAUGUGGCCUACAUUUUGCCAAGAUGUCGUCUCUUUUUCCUGUACGUACCGGCUGUACGCUUUGUAAGAAACACUUCAGAACAAAUCAGUCUGGUGAAGUCUGAGCUUCGUCGUUGCUGCCCAAUGUACUUAUGGAUUUGAUGCAGCCAGCUGGUAAAGGGUGUUCCUCUUGCUACCUGUACUCUUGUGAGUUUCGUCAAAUGAAGAAACAUGAACAACUGAAGUUUAUCGUGUAUCUUCACGUAGUUGCUGUCCGCUGUGGUACUUUGUUGCAGCCUAUGCUGGUGAUAGAUCUUUCUGCAUCAAAUUCAAUUGGCCGUGCUGUUGUCGUGUUACCGUUAAAUGUUAAGAAGG